CCCGACCGGCAGGCAGAACUGACCCGGGCCAAGGCAAACGGGCCGGACCCUCCAGGCGUACAGACAUCCCCGUCCCUGACUGCACACUGAUGACCCAAGACCCAGGCCCAGGCGCCUCAGGCUGCACCGAGGUUGGCAAGGGGCUGUGCCACCCAGAGGUCCUGAGCGGGGGUCUCCUCUGCCCCUCACAGCCCUGGCCGGCAGCCCCGGGGGCCCGCCUGGCCCAUGUUGAGGCUGCCGGUUGCCAGGAUUCGAUGUGGGUUUGUCUGCCUUCCCCAGCCCAUGCCAACCCGCCCAGCAGGCCCCACUGCCUUGGCGACGCAUCACAGAGUCCACACAAAGGGAGGCUGCACUGCCUGCUGGGAGGCUGGUGCUGCCUGGUGUCUCCAUGGCGACGCUGACAUCACGGGGCCGGCUGCAGUAGGGCCCCAGGGGAGGCUCCCAGUGUUCUGGGGAGGAGGCCGGGUGGGUGGGCCUGCCUGCCCUGGGUCUGGGGGGGUCCUGACCCUGCCUGUCCCCACCUUGCCCGGGGCCCGUCUGAGACGCUGUCUCCUGACCCAUAACAGAGAGGGCAGUCUUCACCCGGGACUGACUGUGAUCAUGGAUAAGAUACAGGGAGGGCUGUCGUGAAGACCAUUCUGGUGACUUCCAGGGAAAGGCAGGGGCGGCCUGCACCCCUGGACUGCCUGGGCCCGUGAUUGACUUGGGGUGGCCUCACCCUCUGCCUCAGUUGUUCCCUCCGUAAAAUGGGCACAGAGCUCUCCGGUAAGAAACCUCCCACUGAAAGGCCUGGGUGGCUGGGACCUCUGGCAGUAGCCCUGCCUCUCGCCCUGCUCUGACUCCUAGGGAGGGGAAGGACGUGGAAUAAAGCAAAGUGGAUCCCGGCCUUCGAGCCUGGGGCUGAGAGUCUCCCUCUCUCCUCUGGCAUGGCUGGCCCUUGGCUCCCCGUGGCUUUGGUACAAACAGCAAGGACAAGUUACCAUUUAACUAGAGCUGGAGCCUGGCCAAGCUCUCCAGCCAGUGGCAAACCUGCAGGACCAGUUCGCAGGGAUGAAAGGGCUCCUGGAGAGGUGGGGAGGGAGGGGAGGGCCAGGGCUGGGGCUCAGGGGAGAACACAGAUGGUCAAGGGACAAAAUCUCACUACGAAGCCCAGGCUGGUCUGGAACUCUCAGUGAUUCUCCCACCUCAGCCUCCUGAAUGCUAAGAUGACAGCUUCCUGGUCCUUGAUGCAGACCAGAAAAAAGGAAGAGGAGGAAGAGAAGGAGGAGGAAGAGGAAGAAGAGAAGGAAGAAGAGGAAGAAGAGAUGGAAGAAGGGGAAAGGAGAUCUGGAGCUGUCUCUUUAAAUCUUUCUAGAAGUCCAACAGGAAUAGAACAUUUAUCUGUGUGAAGGCUACACAGGCUUAACUAAAAAUGUCAAGUUUCUUUGCUGGAAUUUUAACAGGGAACAUGAUAAGUGUACAUUUAUUCAGUAAUGAUCAAUUCCGGGUUCUCUUUUGUAUGAGAUGAAAUGGUGACAUGCUGCUCAGAAGCUCUGCUUGGUUUUGUUUCAUACAAAAUCACCUCUUGAAGUUAUAAUUGCUGGAUGAAUGUUAUCUGAUUGUCCUAAACUCUUGCUCUUCUCUCUGUGUUGUGUGCCCUGGGGAGAGGCUACAAAGAUGGGAUAAUAAAAAAGUAAAAUGUUUGCUUUAAAAAAAUUUUUUUUUUUAAUUUUUUUUUUUAGAUAGG
rnacentral:lncRNA from 1 species